AGAGUUGAUCCUGGCUUAGGAUGAACGCUAGCGACAGGCUUAACACAUGCAAGUCGAGGGGCAGCAUAAAAGUAGCAAUACUUGGUGGCGACCGGCGCACGGGUGAGUAACGCGUAUGCAACCUACCUAUCAGAGGGGAAUAACCCGGCGAAAGUCGGACUAAUACCGCAUAAAACAGGGACACCGCAUGGUGAUAUUUGUUAAAGAAAUUCGCUGAUAGAUGGGCAUGCGUUCCAUUAGGUAGUUGGUGAGGUAACGGCUCACCAAGCCGACGAUGGAUAGGGGAACUGAGAGGUUGGUCCCCCACACUGGUACUGAGACACGGACCAGACUCCUACGGGAGGCAGCAGUGAGGAAUAUUGGUCAAUGGGCGAGAGCCUGAACCAGCCAAGUCGCGUGAAGGAAAGAAGGAUCUAUGGUUCGUAGACUUCUUUUGCAGGGGAAUAAAGUGCAGGACGUGUCCUGUUUUGUAUGUACCCUGAGAAUAAGGAUCGGCUAACUCCGUGCCAGCAGCCGC
rnacentral:rRNA from 1 species